rnacentral:misc_RNA from 1 species
GGUAGUAAAAGUCGUAACAAGGUUUCCGUAGGUGAACCUGCGGAAGGAUCAUUAGUGAGUUGUCAUGGGGUUCGAUGCUGGCAACCAAUUUUUGGAUGCAUGUGCUUGCCCUAACAAUCAUCUUCCAAACACCUGUGCACAUUUUUGAGGGAGUCUUGAGUUGGUUGCCGCUCUUGGGUGAUUUUCUCACAUUCCCUUAAAUCAUUAUGCGCUAUUAACAAUGUUGAACGUGCUCUGUGCCGCAAGGCUAUUAAUAUAAUACAACUUUUAACAACGGAUCUCUUGGCUCUC